UCUUUAUAUUUUAUGAUUAAUUUUGUAUAAAUAAAUUAUAAAUUAUUAGAUUGGGGUGAUUUGAAAAUUUUAAAAACUUUUUAAAAUAAAAACAAUAAUUUUUGAUUUAUUGAGCCUAUUAUAUAGAUUUUUAGAAUAAGU
rnacentral:rRNA from 1 species